AGUCACUCUAGGAGCACAUAGUGAAUUAUUCUUUCGCCUUUUACUGAAGAAUACCGUGUGCUCGUUGCACAAAGUGGCAUACGCUUAUUUUUGGAGGGCUUAUUCUAUGUAAUGAGCC